rnacentral:rRNA from 1 species
GGAAUCUUAGACCAAUGGGGGUCGACCCCUGAUCUAGCCCAUGCCGUCGUGAGUGAUGAAGGCCCUUAGGGUUGUAAAGCUCUUUCAGCUGGGAAGAUAAUGACGGUACCAGCAGAAGAAGCCCCGGCUAACUCCGUGCCAGCAGCCGCGGUAAUACGGAGGGGGCUAGCGUUGUUCGGAAUUACUGGGCGUAAAGCGCACGUAGGCGGACCAGAAAGUUGGGGGUGAAAUCCCGGGGCUCAACCUCGGAACUGCCUUCAAAACUAUUGGUCUUGAGUUCGAGAGAGGUGAGUGAAUUCCGAGUGUAGAGGUGANAUUCGUAGAUAUUUCGGAGGAAACACCCAGUGGCCNAAGGGCGGGCUUCAACUGGGCUCGAAUAACUGAACGGCUGAGGUUGCGAAAGUCGUGGGGGAGGCCCCACAGGGAUUAGAUACCCUGGUAGUCCACGCCGUAAACGAUGAAUGCCAGUCGUCGGGUUGCAUGCAAUUCGGUGACACACCUAACGGAUUAAGCAUUCCGCCUGGGGAUGUACGGUCGCCACAGAUUAACACUCAAAGGAUAUUG